CUUUCCCUCUUUCUUCAUGCCUUACACAUGCAAGUCGAACGGUAACGUGCCUUCGGGUGCCGCCGAGUUGCGUACGGGUGAGUAAUACAUCGGAACGUGCCCGAUCGUGGGGGAUAACGAGUCGAAAGCUUUGCUAAUACCGCAUACGAUCUACGGAUUAACGCAUGGGACCGCAAGGCCUUGCGCGGCUGGAUCGGCCGAUGGCAGAUUAGGUAGGUGGUGGGAUAAAAGCUUACCAAGCCGACGAUCUGUAGCUGGUCUGAUGGGAUGAUCAGCCACACUGGGAGUGAGACACGGCACAGACUCCUACGGGGGGCAGCAGUGGGGAAUUUUGGACAAUGGGCGAAAGCCUGAUCCAGCCAUGCCGCGUGAAGGAUGAAGGCCUUCGGGUUGUAAACUGAUUUUGUACGGAACGAAAAGCCUUCUUUUAAUACAGGAUGGUCAUGACGGUACCGUAAGAAUAAGCACCGGCUAACUACGUG
rnacentral:rRNA from 1 species